GGGUUAAAAACCUCAUUGAGUGCAGCGUUGAUGACAUCGUCAUUCCUCUCCGGAUGUCGUUUCAUUGACGCUGCACUUAAUAAUGUUUUUAAUUCUUAAAGCAGUUGGAACACCCCACCCCAGAUUCACAUUCUAACUUCUGAGCUUAUGGGGCCAUUACUCCUCCGAUUGUAUAGGCGAGAGAAUCCACCAAAUCGACUUUGAAAAGCAAUGCUUGCAAAGCUUGUAAGGAAUCAUACGCUGGGUCAAGUUUCUGCUGCCAACCCUGCGGGAAAAGUCCAAGGAGAAGAGUAUUGAAGUUACGGCAUAUGUAUCUAUUGGUAAACAGGCAUGAGGUUCAAAAUAUUUCAAACUUCAUCACGGUACACACAAAAUAUCAAGCUGCAAUAACAACUAGAGUUCUUGUAUGAAAGCUGUUUCUUUUCCUAGGCAACAACAAUAAAAUUUCAAAAGGAAGGACAUUUUAAACACUUGCAAAA